CCAACAGGGAUUGCCUCAGUAACGGCGAGUGAAGCGGCAAAAGCUCAAAUUUGAAAUCUAGCACCUUCGGUGUUCGAGUUGUAAUUUGAAGAUGGUAACCUUGGGUUUGGCUCUUGUCUAUGUUCCUUGGAACAGGACGUCAUAGAGGGUGAGAAUCCCGUCUGAUGAGAUGCCCAUUCCUAUGUAAGGUGCUAUCGAAGAGUCGAGUUGUUUGGGAAUGCAGCUCUAAGUGGGUGGUAAAUUCCAUCUAAAGCUAAAUAUUGGCGAGAGACCGAUAGCGAACAAGUACAGUGAUGGAAAGAUGAAAAGAACUUUGAAAAGAGAGUGAAAAAGUACGUGAAAUUGUUGAAAGGGAAGGGCAUUAGAUCAGACUUGGUGUUUUACGAUUAUCUUCUCUUCUUGAGUUGUGCACUCGUAUUUCACUGGGCCAGCAUCGAUUCGGAUGGCAAGAUAAUGGCAGUUGAAUGUGGCUUCACUUCGGUGGAGUGUUAUAGCUUCUGCUGAUAUUGCCUGUCUGGAUCGAGGGCUGCGUCUUUUGACUAGGAUGCUGGCGUAAUGAUCUAAUGC
rnacentral:rRNA from 1 species